rnacentral:lncRNA from 1 species
GAUUGGUAUGUGGCCUCCCACAACUGUAGCUGGCCUGGUGGAUGACCCAGCUACUGUGUCUAUAAUAAGUAAAUAAUAAAAUUAAAUUAAUUAAAAUAUAUAUAUAAGAGUUUUUAUAGUUUCAGUGAAGAGUUUUGGUAUAGAUUUCUUACCGAUCUAUCGAUCACAACAUGUGUGCUGAUGGAGCUAUCCGUGUGCUUGAUCGGAUCC